CUAGCUACAGGCUUAACACAUGCAAGUCGAGGGGCAUCAGGAAGAAAGCUUGCUUUCUUUGCUGGCGACCGGCGCACGGGUGAGUAACACGUAUCCAACCUGCCCUUUACUCGGGGAUAGCCUUUCGAAAGAAAGAUUAAUACCCGAUAGCAUAAUGAUUCCGCAUGGUUUCAUUAUUAAAGGAUUCCGGUAAAGGAUGGGGAUGCGUUCCAUUAGGUUGUUGGUGAGGUAACGGCUCACCAAGCCUUCGAUGGAUAGGGGUUCUGAGAGGAAGGUCCCCCACAUUGGAACUGAGACACGGUCCAAACUCCUACGGGAGGCAGCAGUGAGGAAUAUUGGUCAAUGGGCGGUAGCCUGAACCAGCCAAGUAGCGUGAAGGAUGAAGGCUCUAUGGGUCGUAAACUUCUUUUAUAUAAGAAUAAAGUGCAGUAUGUAUACUGUUUUGUAUGUAUUAUAUGAAUAAGGAUCGGCUAACUCCGUGCCAGCAGCCGCGGUAAUACGGAGGAUCCGAGCGUUAUCCGGAUUUAUUGGGUUUAAAGGGAGCGUAGGUGGACUGGUAAGUCAGUUGUGAAAGUUUGCGGCUCAACCGUAAAAUUGCAGUUGAUACUGUCAGUCUUGAGUACAGUAGAGGUGGGCGGAAUUCGUGGUGUAGCGGUGAAAUGCUUAGAUAUCACGAAGAACUCCGAUUGCGAAGGCAGCUCACUGGACUGCAACUGACACUGAUGCUCGAAAGUGUGGGUAUCAAACAGGAUUAGAUACCCUGGUAGUCCACACAGUAAACGAUGAAUACUCGCUGUUUGCGAUAUACAGUAAGCGGCCAAGCGAAAGCAUUAAGUAUUCUACCUGGGGAGUACGCCGGCAACGGUGAAACUCAAAGGAAUUGACGGGGGCCCGCACAAGCGGAGGAACAUGUGGUUUAAUUCGAUGAUACGCGAGGAACCUUACCCGGGCUUAAAUUGCAGUGGAAUGAUGUGGAAACAUGUCAGUGAGCAAUCACCGCUGUGAAGGUGCUGCAUGGUUGUCGUCAGCUCGUGCCGUGAGGUGUCGGCUUAAGUGCCAUAACGAGCGCAACCCUUAUCUUUAGUUACAAACAGGUUAUGCUGAGGACUCUAGAGAGACUGCCGUCGUAAGAUGUGAGGAAGGUGGGGAUGACGUCAAAUCAGCACGGCCCUUACGUCCGGGGCUACACGCGUGUUACAAUGGGGGGUACAGAAGGCAGCUAGCGGGUGACCGUAUGCUAAUCCCAAAAGCCUCUCUCAGUUCGGAUCGAAGUCUGCAACCCGACUUCGUGAAGCUGGAUUCGCUAGUAAUCGCGCAUCAGCCACGGCGCGGUGAAUACGUUCCCGGGCCUUGUACACACCGCCCGUCAAGCCAUGGGAGCCGGGGGUACCUGAAGUACGUAACCGCAAGGAUCGUCCUAGGGUAAAACUGG
rnacentral:rRNA from 1 species